rnacentral:rRNA from 1 species
UACGUAGGGACCAAGCGUUGUUCGGAUUUACUGGGCGUAAAGGGCGCGUAGGCGGCGCGGUAAGUCACUUGUGAAAUCUCUGAGCUUAACUCAGAACGGCCAAGUGAUACUGCAGUGCUAGAGUGUGGAAGGGGCAAUCGGAAUUCUUGGUGUAGCGGUGAAAUGCGUAGAUAUCAAGAGGAACACCUGAGGUGAAGACGGGUUGCUGGGCCAACACUGACGCUGGGGCGCGAAAGCCAGGGGAGCAAACGGG